ensembl:snRNA U2 U2 spliceosomal RNA
AUCGCUUCUCGGCCUUUUGGCUAAGAUCAAGUGAAGUAUGUUCUGUGGUAUCUAAAUAGGCAAAAAAUUUUGGUAGUUUAAAAAUAUAAAAAUAAAAAUAUUUGGCAGCUUCU